rnacentral:rRNA from 1 species
UACGUAGGGUGCGAGCGUUAAUCGGAAUUACUGGGCGUAAAGCGUGCGCAGGCGGUUCGUUGUGUCGGUGGUGAAAUCCCCGGGCUUAACCUGGGAAUGGCCAUGGAAACUGGCGAACUGGAGUGCGGCAGAGGGGGGUGGAAUUCCGCGUGUAGCAGUGAAAUGCGUAGAGAUGCGGAGGAACACCGAUGGCGAAGGCAGCCCCCUGGGCUAGCACUGACGCUCAGGCACGACAGCAUGGGGAGCGAACGGG